AGUUUCUUCAGUAAUGUCUCAGGCAACCUAAAGGGCUUUGAAAACUUGCUCCUCAAGAGUCAGCAACAAGAAGUUCCAGAAAAACCAAGUUAUCCAAAGUGACAGCCAUUUUACUACCAGUUCUUUCUCCAUUUAAUUGAAAAGGUGGAAGAUCUAGAGCUUUCUGAUCAAGGUGAGAUGAUCUAUCUAGUGGCUGGUGACUCCCCAGGAAUCCUGUAAGUUGGAGAAGCCUGAGAAUGGCAGUUAUGAAACCAGUGAGAAGUUUAAAUUCUUGUUCCAUUCCUACAAUGUGAAUGAUUGGCUUGUCAAAACCAACUCCUAUAUCAACUGUUGGGUCAACCAGCCCAAUAGUGUAGAGAUUUUGAAAAACCUGGGCAAUGUGAAGUGCCUGAAUGACUACUUGGAGGCCAAGAAACUAUUUUCUACCCUCAGCAUCGUUUCUGAGGAUUGACUUGUCCAGAGCCAUCAGGACCCAUAUAAAGUAGAGGACAUAUGCACAGCCAAUGAGCCCUGCAGAAGUUUUGCAGAGUGUAUGAUGAGAAUUGAGAAGGAAGCUCUGUGUAAGUGGCUUCUAAAGAAAGAUAGACAAAAUAAUGGGAUGCCUGAGGAAACCAAACCUGAGCCUGAGAAGCAUCAAGAUUCCCUGAAUAUGUGGUCCUGUCCUUCAAGAAAAGAACAAGCUAAGGCAUCAAAGGCAACGGCUCCUUCUAGAAUUGCUGAUUCAAGUCAUAAACAACAGUCCCUUGUCAGAGUGGCUAAUCCGGCCCCCAUAUAAGGAAGGAAUUCCCAAGGAAGUGCCUAGUACUGAGGACAGGGCUGGCCAACAAAAGCUUAAAAGCCCCACAAUCACUUCCUGGUGUCCCUUUAAUACAGCUGACUGGAUCCUGCCAGGAAAGAAGAUGGGCACCCUCAGCCAGUGAUCCUCUGGAGAAGACAAGUGGCUACUUUGGAAGAAGGGCCAGGAAGUAUUACUUAAUCCACCCCUACAGGAGGAACAUAACUUCCCCCAAGACCAUGAUGGCUACCCUACAUUUUGUGAUCUCUUUGCCUGUAUGAAGCUUAAAAUCGAGAAAGAGAAGUGAUUAUAUCAAACUCCUCUACAGAUGUGAAGGAACAGACAAGAGUUCAGCAGCUUUUCUGCAGAUUAUUACACAUCCAUGAGCUAAGUGACUGUGACUUGCCAAAUAAUUGUGUUUCUGGGUCCGACCAGUUAGCUUAGUCCCUUUCCUGCCUAAAUUUGAACUAGUGAAGCAAAAUACAUCAUCGGAUUAUGAGUUACUAUUUAAACAAAAAAUGCUGAGGUGACUCAGUUCUUUCCUUUUUACAGAAGUAUUAAUUCACCCCACACUAGAAAUGUAGCACCUUGGUGGAGUUUUUCACAAGCCUCCCACGCUCCUUAGAUUGGGUUAUUACUAAAAGUACAUUAAAACACUGUAGUUUUAAAAAGAAGUAUUUCUGUAAUUGAAGUGUAUUGUAUUCUAAAGCUAGUAAACGUCCCUAACUUUUAAUUGUUCUUUAGCUGCUUCUCUUGCUGUGUUUUCUUCUAUUAGAGGCUGAAAUAAUUUUUCUCUUCUAUUAAUAUAUAUUUUGCACAAAAAAUUAAUCCUGCCAGUAGUGAUUACCAAAACAUGUACUAAUAAUCUUGGUAAUUUUUGACACUAAUUACCAAACAUUUUAGCCUACAUAUUAGUUUUACAUCAUUUUUCUUCUUCACUUGAAAGAAACUGAGCUACUGCAACGUUUUUCUUUAUUCCUUUUUCUAAAUCAAACUUGUCCAACCCAUGGCCCACAGGCCCCAGGAUGGCUUUGAAUGUAGCCCAACACAAAUUUGUAAAUUUUCUUAAAACAUUAUGAGAUUUUUUUUUAGCUCAUCAACUAUUAUUAGUGUAUUUUAUGUGUGGCCCAAGACAAUUCUUCUUCUUCCCAUGUGGCCCAGGGAAGCCAAAAGAUUGGACAUCCCUGCUUUAAAUGUUAUUAGAGUAUCCAGUAUUUAGUAUCCUUCUAAAAGUAUCCCUCUUUUAGAAGGGCUCUGUAUUAAGACCAUUUUCAAGGUAGUUUUAGACUCUUUUCAAAAUAUUCUAUAGAUCCACAUAGGGUUUAAAAGAGCCCCAGUGCUGACUAAGAGCAAAUAGGUAAGACACGUUAGAAAUGUAGUGUAGUACUUGAACCACUCACUAUCCUAGGGAUUACUGGUGUAUCCUCUGUAAAUGGAAGCUGAACUUGACCCCUGGUGCUUUUAACUAGGGAUAAAGUUGUCCUCUCACUGUAGGCACAGCAUUUCUGUACCUCCAAAAGUACAAUGCAGCAACAUUUUAGUAAACAGGCUGCUUACAACACUUGUACCUUGGGGUAUUCAUUGAAGCUUUAUGAAAACCGAUGUUUUCUCAGUAUCUUUAAACUCAUGUCCAUGCUUUAAAAAGUCUCCAGGAGAGAAAUGGGGUUUACAAUGUUUUAAAAUUCUCUAAGAUAUCUUCACCGCUUUCCAGACUUUGAAACUAUGAAGUUUCUCAAAUGCCUAUGUUAUUGGAAAUACUUUUGGGAAAAUGUCAUGGUCCCACAAUGUCAUUGUCAUACAGCUUUACUAAAGUUCUUUGAACCACAGCUGAAAAGAGCUUUGUAUUAUUCCUUAAGCCCCACCCAGAUAUCAUUUAGAACUAUUAUAAUAAUAAAGAUGACGGGUAAAAAAAACUUAAGGACGGCUGGACACGGUGGCUCACGCCUGUAAGCCCAGCACUUUGGGAGGCUAAGGCCGGCGCAUGACCUGAGGUGGGAAGUUUGAGACCAGCCUGACCAACAUGGAGAAACUCUGUCUCUACUAAAAAUACAAAAUUAGCUGGGCGUGGGGGCGCAUGCCUGUAAUCCCAGCUACUCGGGAGGCUGAGGUAGGAGAGUCACUUGAACCCAGGAGGUGGAGGUUGCGAUGAGCCGAGACAGCGCCAUUGCACUCCAGCCUGGGCAACAAGAGUGAAACUGUCUCAAAAAAAAGAA
rnacentral:lncRNA from 1 species